rnacentral:rRNA from 1 species
CCUGUCCUUCGGGACUGGGGACAGCGGCGAACGGGUGAGUAUCACGUGGGUAAUCUGCCCUCGGCACCGGGAUAGCCCGGGGAAACCCGGAUUAAUACCGGAUAGCCUCUCGAGCCUUCGGGCUCGUCAGAAAAGGUGGCUUCGGCUUCCGGCUGAGGAUGAGCCCGCGGCGGAUUAGCUUGUUGGCGGGGUAAUGGCCCACCAAGGCGACGAUCCGUAGCUGGUCUGAGAGGACGAUCAGCCACACUGGGACUGAGACACGGCCCAGACUCCUACGGGAGGCAGCAGUGGGGAAUCUUGCGCAAUGGGCGAAAGCCUGACGCAGCGACGCCGCGUGCGGGAAGAAGGCCUUCGGGUUGUAAACCGCUUUCAGGAGGGACGAAGCCACUCGGGUUAAUAGCCCAGAGGGUGACGGUACCUCCAGAAGAAGCCCCGGCUAACUACGUGCCAGCAGCCGCGGUAAUACGUAGGGGGCAAGCGUUGUCCGGAUUUAUUGGGCGUAAAGAGCGUGUAGGCGGCCAGGUAGGUCAGCUGUGCAAACUCGAGGCUCAACCUCGAGAUGUCGGCUGAAACCAUCUGGCUAGAGUCCGGAAGAGGAGAAUGGAAUCCCCGGUGUAGCGGUGAAAUGCGCAGAUAUCGGGAAGAACACCCGUGGCGAAGGCGGUUCUCUGGGACGGUACUGACGCUGAGACGCGAAAGCGUGGGGAGCGAACAGGAUUAGAUACCCUGGUAGUCCACGCCGUAAACGAUGGGAACUAGGUGUGGGCGGUGUCGACUCCGUCCGUGCCGAAGCUAACGCAUUAAGUUCCCCGCCUGGGGAGUACGGCCGCAAGGCUAAAACUC